rnacentral:rRNA from 1 species
AGAGUUUGAUCCUGGCUCAGGAUGAACGCUGGCGGCGUGCCUAAUACAUGCAAGUCGAACGCUUCACUUCGGUGAAGAGUGGCGAACGGGUGAGUAAUACAUAAGUAACCUGGCCUUUACAGGGGGAUAACUAUUGGAAACGAUAGCUAAGACCGCAUAGGUGUGUCCAUCGCAUGAGGGACAUAUGAAAUAUGCUACGGCAUAGGUAGAGGAUGGACUUAUGGCGCAUUAGCUAGUUGGAGGGGUAACGGCCCACCAAGGCGACGAUACGUAGCCGACCUGAGAGGGUGACCGGCCACACUGGGACUGAGACACGGCCCAGACUCCUACGGGAGGCAGCAGUAGGGAAUUUUCGGCAAUGGGGGAAACCCUGACCGAGCAACGCCGCGUGAAGGAAGAAGUAAUUCGUUAUGUAAACUUCUGUCAUAGAGGAAGAAAGGUGCGUGUAGGGAAUGACAUGCAAGUGACGGUACUCUAUAAGAAAGCCACGGCUAACUACGUGCCAGCAGCCGCGGUAAUACGUAGGUGGCGAGCGUUAUCCGGAAUUAUUGGGCGUAAAGAGGGAGCAGGCGGCACUAAGGGUCUGUGGUGAAAGAUCGAAAGCUUUAACUUCGGUAAGCCAUGGAAACCGUAGAGCUAGAGUGUGUGAGAGGAUCGUGGAAUUCCAUGUGUAGCGGUGAAAUGCGUAGAUAUAUGGAGGAACACCAGUGGCGAAGGCGACGAUCUGGCGCAUAACUGACGCUCAGUCCCGAAAGCGUGGGGAGCAAAUAGGAUUAGAUAUCCUAGUAGUCCACACCGUA